AGCUUUGUGCAGUGGCAGUAUCGUAGCCAAUGUGGUUUAUCUGAGGCGCAAUUAUUGCUAAUUGAAAACUUUGCCUAAAUUUUAAAUUUCAUCUAGAAAAUUUGAUAUGUUUGUUUAUUAAUUCUAAU
rnacentral:snRNA from 1 species